ACAAAGAUUCCCAACUUUUCACAUCCAACCAACUCAAUCAAAUAAUGCUUAAUUAAGUAUAAUGCCCUUAAUUCUGGAGAUCUAUUUGACCAAUCGUUUCAUUUUCUAGUUCCCAAAGUGUUUAUGUAAUCCUGUGCAUUCAUUUGAGUAUUGUAUAAAAGCAAGUAUACAUAUCAUAUGACUGUAUUUUUUAGUAUGGACUGAAACAUAGAUAUGCUUGUUCUUGUAGCUAAAAGUCUUGCCUUAGAUUUGACCACUGUUACAUGAUUCAUUUAUUCUUUUCUAGGAUAUAGUCAAUAUUUAAAGCAAAUAGGAGGCCAAAGACUGACAAACAAGGAUUUUCCUUAUUUCUAUGAUGUUUUUCCUCCUGAGUUCUUCUGUUUGGUCUUUGCAUGUCACAGGGUUUUCUCAAAAUUCACUUUCCUGCCGAGCAGCUUAUAGAGACACCUAGCGGUAAGCCGUAAUGGUGGCUUCUCAGGCAAUCCUUAAGAUUGAGUCAACGAUAGAAAGUUGUCAUCAGGUAUUCAUUUGAGCCACAAGAAAUAAAUUAGACUAUUUUUGUGUCUGUGUUUCUCACAAGACUGGCACCUAAAAUAAUUGCAAAUAUAUUUAAUACUUUUAGCAUGACAAAAUUUAUUUUAAUUAGGAUAAUAAAUCUUUAAAAUGAAAAUAAUACAAAAUCAAAAAUUAAACCAAAUGCUGAUAAUUAAGUACAAUUGUGAUGAUUUAAGAAAGUAAUGAAGUAAUGAACUAAAAAUAGCUAUUAUAUAGCUAUUUUGAAAAGUCCAAUAAUUGAUUAAACCACUUUAUACCUUUUCAGAACUUCUAUGGAAUUUGUCCACAUCGAAAAUUAUUUCUGUGAUAGAAUGCCAAAAGUUUCCAACUGUAAAUAAUAUGUAAUUUUAAGUUAUCACAUCUUAACACAUUCAUUUAAAAUAUAAAAGCAAUAUUAUAUUUUAAAAAUAAAUUUUCUAAAAUAUUUGUAUCAUGGUAGAAGACUAUGGACUAAAUAAAACAGACACUAACAAGACUUGAAGUUUAAGUUGCCUGUUUAUUAUAUAAGGUACCUGCAGCAAGUGGCUGUCAUUCCCCAGCCAAAUGUUUCUAAAUUUACAGGAAGUUCUUUUUUUUAUAGGAUCUUACUGUCAUUAUUCAAUAUUACAGAUUACUUCUUUUCUCCCUCUCUUGUACAUGCCCUGAAUCGAAACAAAAUAAAACUGUUUUCAAACAAAGUAUGUAUAGGUUACCUGAUUUUAGUAUAUGUGCUGCCGAAGCAAGCACAUGUAUGGAUUAUCUGAAAAAAAUAUUUGCCAAACAGACUGAGAAGAAAUUUCAAGAAACGUUGCAAACUUCAAAAGACUGGAAUAUUUACCACCUCUAGAGAACUUUUAAUUUCAAUACAGAGAGAGGAUGUGGGAAGAUAUGUUUGUAUAGUUUGUGUAUAUAUAUAAAUAUAUAUAUAUAUAUCAGAAUCUUUAUAAACCUAUAAUUAAUCAAAACAUUAUAACCAUAAUAGUAUCCUAGGUAUUACCAAGGAGACAAUAUCAAUUAUGUUUAGAAUGAUUCCAAAACAUAAAUCAUAAUUAAAUCAUAAAAUAAAGUAGAUAAAUAUACUUAAGUGGCAAAACUACCCAGUUAUCAUAGAACAGGCACAGGUGCACUCAGCCUCCUUUGGGCCACUUACUAUGACUAACUUUUUUCCUAUACCUGGGAAGGACUGCAGGGCUAAUACCACAAACACUGGAAAUGAAUGAAUGUAAAGACCCCCCCUCUGGGGAGGGAGGUGCCUGGUUUCAUGGAAAGAGACAGGAAUACUUACUGCAAAGAUGACGCUAGUGGAGUUUAGCAGGUGACUCUUCAAGAAACUCCCUUCCUAUGGAUACUGCGUUUACUUAGGGGCUUCCAGCUUUUUAGUACAUACCAAAUGUAUUCACAUUCUCUCUGAAAAGUCGUUCGCAUGCCCUUGCAUCGCUCAGACAUACCUAUAAAACGCAAUUCUUAAAAAAAAAAAAAAAAGAAAAAUUAGCGCCCCUGUUUGCAGCUAGGAUGAACCACUCCCUCUUCCAGGGUCCUUUAGAGUGAGUACAGGAGACAGAAGCAGGGGCUGGAGGAAGGCAGGCGACCAGCCCAGGGCUGUUAUCGUCUGUCCCCGACCACCAAGAA
rnacentral:lncRNA from 1 species